GAAGGACACGAGAUAAAAGUUUGUCCUGUGAGGAAAGGGUGAGGCCACCAAGCAGAUCCUAACGGGGCUAUGACAUCAUUUCCUGACCAAUACCAGAGCAGCACAGACAGACCAGGUCCUUGCUGUGGUCCUCAGAAAAACAGGACCUUCUCUAUGUGUCAGCAAUUCAUGUGCAAACUGGUCUGGUUCUGGGGGACCCAUUUACUGCCUGCUGACUGAAAUGACAUGGGGCAGGGAUAUGAAUAGUGGAUUUGUCAUCACAGUUGGGUAGAUAAGUCACAAAGAUUGUGUCUCAUUAAAUGUGUGUUUGUGGGAGAAACUGAUAAGCUAGGCUGUGACUAAGAAAAGACCUUUUACUCGGGAACCAUUGACUAGAUCAGAUACCUAGGAUUGGCAACUUACUGUAAAAGCCAGAAAAUACUAUUUAUCAAGUUUCCAGGGCAGUUGAGCUCAGGCAGAAGCUGUGGAAAUCAUGAGGGUGUACCACUUGGAAGGUUAGGAAGCCUGUAUCUCUGGAGGAGCAGAGGGCAGGCUCCCCUCUCAGUGGGAGGGGCAGAGCUUGCCAAGGGCCAGGGAUGGGGCCAUCACUCUCCAAAGCACUCGUUAUAAUCAGCCAGACCCAUGGUCUGAUUUCCACCUGCCUAAGGACAUUGCCUCGCUUCUUUCAAAGAAGGCCUUGUGUUUGCUCAUUAGGGCUGCUAACCACAUUGUGUGGACAACCCUCCAUCUUCACUGUGCCAAAUGCUCAGAGCAACUGUAGCUCAACAGUGUCUCCGCAGAGCACAGUGCCCUCCCCACCCUACCCCAUCCCCCACCAGAGCCUCUCCCACAGCACAGCCAGCCUCCCAAUCUCAGGAGGUGAUUCACCUAUCCCAGACCUUGGGUUUCUCCCUGUCUAAAGCCCCGGUAAUCUCAGCCAGCAAAAAAUAAAUAAUAUUUUUUUAAAAAGGCAAGAAAGAAGAAUGCAUGUAACAUAAAGAGUUACCAAUAGCCUGUUCCUCUUGAAGUGGGAACUUUGUAGAAUGGCCUUAGGUCAAAGAGAGGUAAUGCUAUAUUGUUACGUCUUUUCUGAAAUUAUAAAAAUAAUUAUCACUGCUCCUCUUACAUGUGUCUAGCAUAGUUUUAAGAAAGUUCUGGAACUGCAAGAAGAGCUAGAAACUAACCAAAUGUUUCCACAACAAAGCAAAAGUAAUGACAGCAGGACAAGGCCUGGGGAGGCGCAAUGCCUGCGUGAUUCCAGUAAAUGGCAGCAACCCUGGGUCACCUGGGUCACCACACCACUCUCUCUCCACCCUGCCUAUUAUUGAAGCAGCACAGCAGAGUAGCGCUGGUCCUCCCCACAGCAGGGCUCCAGGGCCAGGCAUGUUCAUCCAGUUCUUUGGGGUCUGGCAAUAGUCCUUUUGUAAAUGGCUUUUAUCGACUUUAUUUUUCAUGUUCCAUUUACAACCCACACUCUCAGGGUAGGGGAAGACCUCUAGAGCCAGCCUGAUACCAAACAUGGAGCAGUAGCCAUGAGAGCACACACACCAUCUUCCAUGUGCUCUUUCAGACAGAAGUAAGCAGCAGGUCCUGUACCACACAAAAGGCUCUGUCUCCCGGGCCAGGUCCCCUAUGACUCAAGGGGCGAGCCCUGAAGAACAGACUUGGGGUAGACAAAGAACGGGAUAGGAGCUAGGGAAUGCAGGGCUCUGGGAGGCCCACCUGGCCUCACUCAAUUUGCUACUUCCCUGGCUUUGACCUGAAAGCCUUUAUUGUUUCCAGAGCCUGGGCCAGCUCUGUUAGAGAAGGAGAGAAGAUCUUAAUACAGACUGCAGUGAUUCCUUUCAGGAAAUUCCCAUAGUGAACUCCUUGCAUCCAGUAACAGAGGCGUUAGCCGCAGUAAGAGGCUCCAUCAGGCUCUGUUGAGUUGUAGCCCCAUCAAACAGUAACAUGGACCUGACCUCUCCCAACCAGCUUCAGGAUCCUUUCUGCCUUUUAAAAACAACAUCAGACUGCUAUGUCCUCCACUUUGUGACUGCUGGCAUCAAGAAGCAAUCUCAAAGUGUGGCUUUGUAUGGUUCUGCCUAGAACUUGCCACGACUGCCUUCCCCCAUCAGGGCAGCUGGACAGAGGUACCC
rnacentral:lncRNA from 1 species